rnacentral:rRNA from 1 species
UACGUAGGGUCCGAGCGUUGUCCGGAAUUAUUGGGCGUAAAGAGCUCGUAGGCGGUUUGUCGCGUCUGCUGUGAAAUCUGGAGGCUCAACCUCCAGCCUGCAGUGGGUACGGGCAGACUAGAGUGCGGUAGGGGAGAAUGGAAUUCCUGGUGUAGCGGUGGAAUGCGCAGAUAUCAGGAGGAACACCGAUGGCGAAGGCAGGUCUCUGGGCCAUUACUGACACUGAGAAGCGAAAGCAUGGGGAGCGAACAGG